GACGAACGCUGGCGGCGUGCUUAACACAUGCAAGUCGAACGGAAAGGCCCUGCUUUUGUGGCGUUCUCGAGUGCCGAACGGGUGAGUAACACGUGAGUAACCUGCCCUUGACUUUGGGAUAACUUCAGGAAACUGGGGCUAAUACCGGAUAGGAGCUCCUGCUGCAUGGUGUGGGUUGGAAAGUUUCGGCGGUUGGGGAUGGACUCGCGGCUUAUCCGCUUGAUGGUGGGGUAGUGGCUUACCAAGGCUUUGACGGGUAGCCGGCCUGAGAGGGGGACCGGCCACAUUGGGACUGAGAUACGGACCAGACGCCUACGGGAGGCAGCAGUGGGGAAUAUUGCACAAUGGGCGGAAGCCUGAUGCAGCAACGCCGCGUGCGGGAUGACGGCCUUCGGGUUGUAAACCGCUUUCGCCUGUGACGAAGCGUGAGUGACGGUAAUGGGUAAAGAAGCACCGGCUAACUACGUG
rnacentral:rRNA from 1 species